rnacentral:rRNA from 1 species
AGUGAACGCUGGCGGCGUGCUUAACACAUGCAAGUCGAACGAGGACGGAUUAUAGCUUGCUAUAAUUGUCAGCUAAGUGGCGCACGGGUGAGUAAUAUAUAGGUAACGUGCCCCAAAGAAGAGGAUAACAGAUGGAAACGUCUGCUAAGACUCUAUAUGCCUUUAUGACAAAAGUCAGCAAGGGAAUAUUAUAGCUUUGGGAUCGGCCUGUACAGUAUCAGUUAGUUGGUGAGGUAAUGGCUCACCAAGACAAUGACGCUUAACUGGUUUGAGAGGAUGAUCAGUCACACUGGAACUGAGACACGGUCCAGACUCUACGGGAGGCAGCAGUGGGAAUAUUGCACAAUGGACGAAAGUCUGAUGCAGCAACGCCGCGUGGAGGAUGACACAUUUCGGUGCGUAAACUCCUUUUAUAUAGGAAGAUAAUGACGGUACUAUAUGAAUAAGCACCGGCUAACUCCGUGCCAG